rnacentral:rRNA from 1 species
GACAAGGGGUCCUAGCGUUGUUCGGAAUCAUUGGGCGUAAAGCGUGUGUAGGCGGCCAUUCAAGUCAGUUGUGAAAGCCCCGGGCUCAACCCGGGAAGUGCUUCUGAUACUGUUUGGCUUGAGUACUGGAGAGGAUAGUAGAAUUCCUGGUGUAGUGGUGAAAUGCGUAGAGAUUGGAAAGAACACCGAUGGCGAAGGCACUUUACUGGGCUAUUACUAACACUCAGAGACGAAAGCUAGGGUAGCAAAUGGG